UACGAAGGGGGCUAGCGUUGUUCGGAAUUACUGGGCGUAAAGCGCGCGCAGGCGGUUCUUCAAGUCAGUGGUGAAAUCCUGGAGCUCAACUCCAGAACUGCCUUCGAUACUGGGAGUCUUGAGUCCGGGAGAGGUGAGUGGAACUGCGAGUGUAGAGGUGAAAUUCGUAGAUAUUCGCAAGAACACCAGUGGCGAAGGCGGCUCACUGGCCCGAUACUGACGCUGAGGCACGAAAGCGUGGGGAGCAAACAGG
rnacentral:rRNA from 1 species